rnacentral:misc_RNA from 1 species
AAAAUUGGGUGCAAGCUUCUUCCACGAUCCUUGGAUGCCCAACCAGAUACUGCUGACACCACUGGGCCCACUCCAAGAGCAUCAGUUGAACAACCACGUUCUUCCCGGCAUUCUAGACAUAGGAAAAGUUUCUCAUUGUUUUGAGAGCUGACACAAGGGAAUUAAAGACUGUAAAAAUGAAAAGCUUGUAUAAUCCAAAAUGCAGUACAGAUACAACAGAAAGGAUCACUGUUUCUACUAGCAGCAUUGGAUUCAAGAUAUAAAUACAAGGGAGUCUGAAGCUUCUUCCCGUCUUCUUGAAGCGUACUUAUUUCAAGUUUCUUUCAACAUUUGUAAGGGGCUAUUUUUUUCUCAAAUUUUUUGAGUGGUAGUUUUAUAGUGAGUUGUUAAAAAGAAAGUUGAAAAUGCCAUAAGCUCCA